AGCAGCCGCGGUAAUUCCAGCUCCAAUAGCGUAUAUUAAAGUUGUUGCAGUUAAAAAGCUCGUAGUUGAAUUUCGGGACCAAUAUGUUGGUCGUGCCUUGGUACGUACUGGCAUUAUUGGUUUCUCCCUUCUGAAGAACCACGAUGCCAUUAAUUUGGUGUCGUGGGGAAUCAGGACUGUUACUUUGAAAAAAUUAGAGUGUUUAAAGCAGGCUCGCGCUUGAAUACAUUAGCAUGGAAUAAUGAAAUAGGACGUUUGAUUCUAUUUUGUUGGUUUCUAGGAUCGACGUAAUGAUUAAUAGGGAUAGUUGGGGGCAUUAGUAUUCAAUUGUCAGAGGUGAAAUUCUUGGAUUUAUUGAAGACUAACUACUGCGAAAAGCAUUUGCCAAGGAUGUUUUCAUUAAUCAAGAACGAAAGUUA
rnacentral:sRNA from 1 species